ensembl:lncRNA
CUUCCGAUCACCAGCUGGUCCGGAAGCUCUUGCUUCCUGUCCCAAACCAUGGUGUGGGGACCAGGGGCCACUCCCAGGGCACCAGGGCCAAAGCAGGCACACUGCCUGGCGUGCCAGCACUGGCCCUGGAGCCCAGGCCUUCACCAGGGCCCAUUACAUGUCAGCAAGCGGUCUGCACCAACCAUCAGGAGACCCCCUGGGUCUGUGCCUGGUGUCCCCACAGCCAAGCCCUCCCCGGAGAGUGAGGAGGCCAGAAGUUUGCCCUUGGGAACAAGGAACCAGGGUACAGAGGCUCUCGGGAGAAAAGAGAGAUUCGGCCAGCCAGUGGGCAAAGGGCAGCUCCUGGGACACAUGCAGACUCAACCUGCACGCCCAACACGAAGGACAAUUGAUGGGAGGAAAGAGCGGAGGAAAGAAAGAAGGGAAGGAAAAGGUGAAAAGGAGGAGAGAAGAGGAAGACGAGGGAAAUAAGAACCAUUGGGAAGAAGCAUCGGUUUUCCCCGGCAACAGGGAAGGAGCUGUCUCCCACUUAGUGGAAUUCAGUGCCCCCACAGUGGAAAAUGUAGUCAGACAGAGCCUGGCGUUGGCCUCACGCUCGCACAGCACGGUCAAAGGAAGUGAAAUCGAGUGGAUGCCUGUUCUGCAAGCAGGUGCCACCUGCAUCUUUUAUUUGCAUGCCCUUUCGAGCAUCCUCUGAAAUGGACACCUUUUUUAAGAACUUAAUUUUCUGGCUGCCCCACGCAGCACGCGAGAUCUUCUUUCCAGGACUGGGGGGUUGAACCGGUGUCCCCUGCAGUGGAAGUGUGGCGUCUGAGCCGCUGGAUGGCCAGGAAGGCUCCUUCUUCUGCCCCACCUCAAGGCUAGGGAAGCUGUACCUCAGAGAAGCCAGAGUCCUUGGAGAGGUUAGCCUAACGCUUUUCAUUCCCUGGGCGAAGGGUCGAGAGCAGCCCAACCUCAGAGUCCGCACCGGGACCACAACCUGCUGAGAACCGUGCCCCUGCUGAGAAAAGCAGCGGCUGGAGAGCCCCAGCCCAGCGCCUACUGGGGCCUUCAUCCUGGACAUCCACAUGGGUCACAUUACUGAAAUAUUCUGGCUUUUCUGCUUCUCGGGGAACCAUCUCCAAGGCACAGAAGUAAGGCGAGCAAACCCCAGUGUCCUCAGCAGAAGCAGAAUAAAAACAGGACACGUCUCUGAGAAGGGGAAACAGGGCCGUGCACCACGUGGGUCUAGACAGCGCGCAGGCCUGUGGUUGUGAGCGAUGAGAGGAGGCAGCGGCUUGAGGCAGGGAGGCCGCAUGCAGGCCUGGAGAGGCGGGGAGAAGCCUUUGUCUCUCCCCCGAGUCACCAGCACUGCCAGCAGCCCUCGGAUGUUGACUCAGCUUGGCUGGUAAGCGCCUUGGCAGCGGGGCCCUUGCUGGGUGGGACGCCAGGCCCUGCUGGGGCUCGGAGACCGGCGUCCCUGAGGCUUCCUCCUGCCUUCCCACCCGGCCUCCCCUUCCUGGCUGGAUGCGACCGGGUCUGGGCCAGCGCGCGGCAGGAAGGACCUGGGGAUAUUGGCCGAGGCCUCUGUUACCUUGGCCAGAGCCUGCGGCUCCUGCGCAGCGGGAGCCCAGGGCCCGGCACGGUGGACUCCCAGCCCUCCAUUUCCCUGGGGACACGUGCUUUCUUAGGCCCUGCUGUUGUGAUCCUCUUCCACACAGGGACCAGACCUGUUUUGUUUUUUAGAUUAUAACAAUUCUCUUUUUUUCCCAAUACCUCUUCUGUGUCUACGGGUGAGAAUUCACUUGGCAGAAGGAUCCAUCUCCAGCUUUCACGGAGAGACAAGAUGGACAGCAGAUAUCAGACUGCCCCAGAGCACACAGAUGGCUGACUGCAAGAACACACAGAGCUGGGAGGAGAAACUGGGGACCCUGCCCCUGAACUGCUCUGGAGGCGGCCGAGCACUGACCAACAAGGCCUCCAGAGUCGGUUCAGAAGGUGGCUCCAUCGCUGCGGUCAGCUAUGUGAUCUUGGGGUAGCUACUGAACUUGAGGGAGCCUCAGUUUCUUCUUCUGUGAAAUGGGUCUAGCUGCUGUUGCUGACUUCCUGUGUGGGUUAAACACACGUAGAGUGCUUAGGGAGCAGUACAGGGGAACUGCAGCCACAGACAGCUUUCCCGGCCCUCCUGGCCUCAGAGGCCACACCUGGAAAACAAGACUGUGAGAAGAGAGGGUUUCCAGGGAGCUCCUGCAAUCAUAAAACUGCACCGUUCUGAGACUUUAGUAAGGAGUGCUAAUUCUUCCCCAGAGGUCUCCCAACACUCUGUGGACCGUCGCUGAGCCGCCACUCAGAACAGCCUUCUGCCUCUGCCCACGCGUGUGGGACGUGGCUUCACUUCACUCGGUUGGCUUAUAGGGCUCCAGAAAGGAAGGUUCUAGCAACUGCCACUCACCUGGGAGGUAGCUGCUGAUCAAAGGGACCAUCUAAAACCACCAGGCGCUAUUUGCUGUCACAGCCACAGGGCUUGUGGCUUUUAAAGGCAGCAGCAGGGGACAGCUUCCCGGGCAGUCAUACGGGGCCCCUCGUUUCUAAGUUCUCCGCGCGUCUAAUGCACAGCUGCUGCUGCCCUGAGUAUUUCUGAGCCAGGGUUCCCACAUUUCCGGUUUGCGCUGGGGCCUGCACACCAAGCAGUGGGCCACUCCUGCAGGUGGGCCACGUCCAAGGUCACACCUGUCGACACUACCCUGUGUGUGUAUAGUUGUGGAUGUGGUUAGGGAGACAGAAAUCUUGGAAUUUUAAGUUGCUGCACCAAAGCGAUGCCUCUGUUAGCGCCCAUGGCAGGAAAGAGCAUGGCUCUAGCAGGGAGAGUUCCCUGCACCAGGCCUGGCCCCACCGGCAGGAGGAAGCCCGCACCGCGGCGGCCUCAGCUGGGCAUCCGGGGAGCAGGAGACGAGCGGACUCAUGGAAAUCUCCCAGCUCACGUCGCAAGACGGUGAUUUUUCUCUGCCCAGCUCCUGUGUCUCUCCCAGAUGAUAUAUGAAUCGCCUUAUUUACCUUUUCCCUCCAAACCUUCUCCUUUAUUAUUUUUAUUAAUGCCAUGCCAACACUGAAAAGGUGUUUCCUUUGCAAAAAGAAAAAAAGGUGGGGGGAAGGAAAGAAAGUAACCCCUAACACCUCAUUCCAUUCACACAGCAGAGGGAACAUCUAUUUAAAAAUAGCAAUAUUUAUCUGUGUGUGUGUGUGUGUGUGUGAGAGAGAGAGAGGACUUAAAAUGGGUUGGUUAUAUGACAGUCUAAAAUCGGAAUACCAAUAAUAAUAAAUUCAGGUCUUUAUUUCCAAAAGGCCACAGUACUCAGUAAAGUUUUACUAUCUUUAUUGACAAUAAAAAUGUUGCUGCAC